AGUGUGAAGCGGAGUCGCAAAGCUAAAGUACCUGCUGAUAUAAAGAGCACUGUCAGAACAAUAAUUAAGCAAAAAGAAGACCAAGACGGUUUGGAAACAUUCGACGUGGAAGAAAGAGCAGACUCCCCAACGAAUCAGAUGAAGAUUAAGAGUCUCGCAAGAGAGGUUUAUCUCGCAGAAAAAAACUUGGGAAAAAAGACUUCUUUUGAGACGGCAAAAGGUUUGUGUAUGCAGUUUUUUAUACCAUGCAUGCAAUAAUUGGGAACCAGGAAAG